rnacentral:lncRNA from 1 species
CAGAUUCAGGACUAAUCUCAUUAUGCCCUUUAUCCCUGUUUGCGUCAGGGGCUGCAGGAAACUCAGGUCACCCUACCCCAUGGCCCUGAAUACUCCUUUUCUGACCCCAUCUGUUGGAACCUUUCCUCUGAGCCCUCAGGAGACCCCAGGGCAGCCUCUCUCUGGAACAUUCUCUCUCUUCUUUCUUGGACUGAAACCUACCUCUCCCCAAGACCUGCUUUCCUAUCUAUGUGGGGCUGCCCCUCAUACCCUCACCGGUGUUGGACAGGUCCUUACAGAUCAUCUUCUGUGCCCAUUCUGAGGAGCCCCUGCACAGGCUCUGUGACCCCAUUCCCCCACCCUCCCCAGCACCACACCACCAGGUUGCUCUGGUGGGGCAUGAUGUGGUCUCAGUGUAGGAACCCGACCACCAGUCGUCAGGCCUCAUCUUUCUUCAGCCAUCAGCAUUUCCCUCGGUGGAUCCUCACCAUCUCCCCAUCCCUAAAACAUUUCCAGGAAACAAAGUACUUCUGCUUUUCUGCCCUUGUGCUGUCUCUUUCACAUCAUAUGGAGUGGCCCUCUCAACUCUUGUGUUUCUGUUACAUGCACCUCCAGGGGCUACCAGUGCAUCUUCUGUUCUCUCUCAUGCCUGUCCCGCCAGCCCAGAUGUCUCCACCUGGCUCUCACAUAGGCUGUGUGUGCAAGAGAGAAAUGAACCAAAUGGAAAAUGCUGAGCAGAAAAAGUGGGGUGGCCAGAGAGGAAAUCCCCACGAUGGAGCUGGGGGACCCUGAGGCUUGCAGUCUUCCAAGUGCCAGCUCUCAUCCAGACCCCAGGUCUCUAUGAAAGGAGUUGAUUGGUGUGAACACAUAGGAAUCAGGAGUUUACUCCGAUAUAGGACGAAGCUGAUCAUUCCUAGCAUCACUGCACUGAACAUGGGCAGCAGCUUCAGGUACCCACACAGGAGGCAGCUGCCUUUCAUGUGAGCCAUGCUCCUCCCUGCCAGGUAGCGCUGGACAGAAACC